AGCUCCAGGACACAGGUUCACACCACCACAGCUGGCUUUUACACGGGUGGUUGGCAUCUGAGCUCAAUUCUUCACUUUACCUGCAGCACAGAACCGUAAUGUAGCAAGCUAAAGCAAAAAGCCGAAGGAUGAGUGGCUUUACCCACAGAGGGUCACUGUCCGACCAUUGGAGGCCUGGAAUUCCAAGACCAAGGUGUCAGCAGAAUCUGUUUCUCCUGGGACCACUCUGCUUGGCUGCCUUUCCCAUAUGUGUGUGUCUUGACCUCCCCUUUUAAGGACACCGGUCAUAGUGAAUCAUGGCCCGCCCAAAUAAACUCCUGUUACCUUGA